rnacentral:rRNA from 1 species
UACGUAGGGUGCGAGCGUUAAUCGGAAUUACUGGGCGUAAAGCGUGCGCAGGCGGUUUUGUAAGCCAGAUGUGAAAUCCCCGGGCUUAACCUGGGAAUGGCAUUUGGGACUGCAAGGCUUGAGUGCGGCAGAGGAGACUGGAAUUCCUGGUGUAGCAGUGAAAUGCGUAGAUAUCAGGAGGAACACCGAUGGCGAAGGCAGGUCUCUGGGACGGUACUGACGCUGAGGCGCGAAAGCCUGGGGAGCGAGCAGG